AUUGAACGCUGGCGGCAUGCUUUACACAUGCAAGUCGAACGGCAGCAUGGGCUUCGGCCUGAUGGCGAGUGGCGAACGGGUGAGUAAUACAUCGGAACAUACCUCGUUGUGGGGGACAACUACUCGAAAGAGUAGCUAAUACCGCAUAAGAUCUACGGAUGAAAGCAGGGGACCUUCGGGCCUUGCGCAAUGAGAGUGGCCGAUGGCAGAUUAGGUAGUUGGUGAGGUAAAGGCUCACCAAGCCUGCGAUCUGUAGCUGGUCUGAGAGGACGACCAGCCACACUGGGACUGAGACACGGCCCAGACUCCUACGGGAGGCAGCAGUGGGGAAUUUUGGACAAUGGGCGAAAGCCUGAUCCAGCAAUGCCGCGUGCAGGACGAAGGCCUUCGGGUUGUAAACUGCUUUUGUACAGAACGAAAAGCUUCGGGCUAAUAUCCUGGAGUCAUGACGGUACUGUAAGAAUAAGCACCGGUUAACUACGUGCCAGCCGCCGCAGUAAGAC
rnacentral:rRNA from 1 species